rnacentral:misc_RNA from 1 species
GAACGACUCUGGUUUACUCGGUCUCCUUAAUUUUCUCUCCAUUAAUUGUGCUUAAGUAAUGUCCUUCUGUAGAAAUCUCACUCAAAUUCUUAAUUUUGUUUGUUCUAUUAUUGUUACGUUCUUGUGAUUGGGUUUAUUGAUUUGUGAACAGGGAAGGCGAAGGAAAAAUAGAGAUUGAGAAAUUUGGGUUUCUUGGUUUGUGGAGAGGGAAAGAGAAUUUUGCACAGAGAGAAUUUGGGUAUUGUUUGUGGAGAAAUAGGAUAGGGGGAUUUUUGGCAGGGGACAGGGAAGGAGAGAGAG